rnacentral:rRNA from 1 species
UAAUACGUAGGUGACAAGCGUUGUCCGGAUUUACUGGGCGUAAAGAGCGCGCAGGCGGUCGUUCAAGUCGAGUGUGAAAGCCCCCGGCUCAACUGGGGAGGGUCACUCGAUACUGAUCGACUCGAAGGCAGGAGAGGGUAGUGGAAUUCCCGGUGUAGUGGUGAAAUGCGUAGAUAUCGGGAGGAACACCAGUGGCGAAGGCGACUACCUGGCCUGUUCUUGACGCUGAGGCGCGAAAGCUAGGGGAGCAAACGGGAUUAGAUACCCCGGUAGUCCUAGCCGUAAACGAUGGAUGUUAGCCGUCAGCGAGCUUGCUCGUUGGUGGCGCAGCUAACGCAUUAAACAUCCCGCCUGGGGAGUACGGUCGCAAGAUUA